GGUUCAGAAAGCCCACCUUCCUGCCAGGCCCGAGCUCAGAGGGUAGGCCUUAGUGUUUGCAGCGAGAUGCUGCUUGACAUUAUAUUCUGCUCUGCUUUAAAGAGCAGUUCCGUGGGCGGGGGUAGUGAAAGAACAUUCCCACCCUAAUUUAUAAUCCCAGGGCAGAAGUCAGCAAUUACUUAGAGAUAAAAGAUGAACUACUUAGGGGCAGGAUUUGGCAAGUGAUUGACUUUCAUCUAGUACUGAGAUCUUCAGGUUAUUUUUAACUUUAUAAAUUUAGCAGUGACAGCGUACACGGCAGAGAAGCAGGUUAAUGAGGUACAGGCUUUUUGGGUAUUCCCGAAAGCUUUUGGGUAAAGGCCACAUCACCAGUUCCCUCAAAUUAAGAAACCGUCAGGAGAUUUCUUUUUCCAUUGCAGGUUUUAAAGUGGCGAUUCUUAAGUGGAAAAUAAGCACUGCGCAGAACAAAGCUACUUUGAAGCAGUAUAAAAUGAAACAUUUUAUGAGAAUUUGCAGGCUGUGGCUGAGAAUGGCAGUUUACAAAAAAGGUAGUGAGUGGGGUGAGCCUGACAGAAAGCAAAAGGCAGCAUACCCCACCUUCCCUCCACUGGUAUAAACUGCUUCUUGAAGGUAAAUUGUAACCUUUAUUAAUCCUUCCCGUUUAUUUAACGCUCUGGGCGAUCAGCAUGCUCGGGGAAGUAUCCCAACACAUUGUGUUCAUAGAUUAGGCUCAGGGGGGUCUCGGCCCCAGCUCGUUUUGGUAGCAGCCCCUCCGUGAUGGGUACAGUAAACCACUGUCCCUCUUUGCACUUUCUUACUGCCUCACAUAGCGGUGAUCUCCCACCGUGUUUUGCUUCUGUAGUGAGCUGGCGAGGUUAGGCAGCCUCGACCUCUCCAGUGUGGUGGGAGAGGCUUGUUCUCCGUGCCCCGCUGUGCAAGCUUGACGCCUUGUCCUUCUC